rnacentral:tRNA from 1 species
GUAGUGGUAGUUUAAUCUAAAACAUUGGUCUUGUAAGCCAAAGAUAAAUUUUAUUUUCACUGCU